UGCCAUGAACUGGCUUAAUCUCAGCUGGCAACUGUGAGUGUUUAAUGGUUUCCCCCACAGUGGUUGCUGGGAUUAUGCUAAACACAGCA
rnacentral:pre_miRNA from 1 species